rnacentral:rRNA from 1 species
GAUGAACGCUGGCGGCGUGCCUAAUACAUGCAAGUCGAGCGAACAGAUGAGGAUCUUUCUCCUCUGACGUUGGCGGCGGACGGGUGAGUAACACGUGGAUAACCUACCUAUAAGACUGGGAUAACUUCGGGAAACCUGAGCUAAUACCGGAUAAUAUAUUGAACCUCAUGGUUCAAUAGUCAAAGACGGUUUUGCUGUCACUUAUAGAUGGAUCCGCGCCGCAUUAGCUAGUUGGUAAGGUAACGGCUUACCAAGGCAACGAUCCGUAGCCGACCUGAGAGGGUGAUCGGCCACACUGGAACUGAGACACGGUCCAGACUCCUACGGGAGGCAGCAGUAGGGAAUCUUCCGCAAUGGGCGAAAGCCUGACGGAGCAACGCCGCGUGAGUGAUGAAGGUCUUCGGAUCGUAAAACUCUGUUAGUAGGGAGGAACAAAAGUGUAAGUAACUAUGCCCGUCUUGACGGUACCUAAUCAAGAAGCCACGGCUAACUACGUG